rnacentral:rRNA from 1 species
CCUACGGGGGGCAGCAGUGGGGAAUAUUGGACAAUGGGGGGAACCCUGAUCCAGCCAUGCCGCGGGUGUGAAGAAGGCCCUCGGGUUGUAAAGCACUUUCAGUGAGGAAGAACGCCUGGUGGUUAAUACCCAUCAGGAAAGACAUCACUCACAGAAGAAGCACCGGCUAACUCCGUGCCAGCAGCCGCGGUAAUACGGAGGGUGCGAGCGUUAAUCGGAAUUACUGGGCGUAAAGCGCGCGUAGGUGGCUUGAUAAGCCGGUUGUGAAAGCCCCGGGCUCAACCUGGGAACGGCAUCCGGAACUGUCAAGCUAGAGUGCAGGAGAGGAAGGUAGAAUUCCCGGUGUAGCGGUGAAAUGCGUAGAGAUCGGGAGGAAUACCAGUGGCGAAGGCGGCCUUCUGGACUGACACUGACACUGAGGUGCGAAAGCGUGGGUAGCAAACAGGAUUAGAUACCCGAGUAGUC